UGAGUAACCUGCCCUUAACUCUGGGAUAAGCCUGGGGAAACUGGGUCUAAUACCGGAUAUGACUCCUCAUCGCAUGGUGGGGGGUGGAAAGCUUUUUGUGGUUUUGGAUGGACUCGCGGCCUAUCAGCUUGUUGGUGAGGUAAUGGCUCACCAAGGCGACGACGGGUAGCCGGCCUGAGAGGGUGACCGGCCACACUGGGACUGAGACACGGCCCAGACUCCUACGGGGGGCAG
rnacentral:rRNA from 1 species